CUUUACUGUAGCUUUACAUUGGACUUUGAACAGAUCUGUGUAGGAUAGGUGGGAGGCUUUGAAGUGCGGAUGCUAGUUCGCAUGGAGCCAACGUUGAAAUACCACCCUGGUGUGUUUGAGGUUCUAACCUUGGCCCCUGAAUCGGGGUUGGGGACAGUGUAUGGUGGGCAGUUUGACUGGGGCGGUCUCCUCCCAAAGUGUAACGGAGGAGUUCGAAGGUACGCUAGGCACGGUCGGAAAUCGUGCUGAUAGUGCAUUGGCAUAAGCGUGCUUGACUGCGAGACUGACAAGUCGAGCAGGUACGAAAGUAGGACAAAGUGAUCCGGUGGUUCUGUAUGGAAGGGCCAUCGCUCAACGGAUAAAAGGUA
rnacentral:rRNA from 1 species